UGGGGAAUAUUGGGCAAUGGGGGGAACCCUGACCCAGCAACGCCGCGUGAGGGAAGAAGGUUUUCGGAUUGUAAACCUCUGUUCUUGGAGAAGAGUGGAAGACGGUAUCCAAGGAGGAAGCCCCGGCUAACUACGUGCCAGCAGCCGCGGUAAUACGUAGGGGGCGAGCGUUGUCCGGAAUGAUUGGGCGUAAAGGGCGCGCAGGCGGCCAUUCAAGUCAGUAGUGGAAGUCCAUUUUUCAAGGGUGGAAGUGCUAUUGAAACUGUAUGGCUUGAGUGCGGGAGAGGUUAUCGGAAUUCCCGGUGUAGCGGUGAAAUGCGUAGAGAUCGGGGGGAACACCAAUGGCGAAGGCGGGUAACUGGACCGCAACUGACGCUGAGGCGCGAAAGUGUGGGGAGCAAACAG
rnacentral:rRNA from 1 species